rnacentral:rRNA from 1 species
CCUACGGGAGGCAGCAGUGGGGAAUCUUGCGCAAUGGGCGAAAGCCUGACGCAGCAACGCCGCGUGCGGGAAGAAGGCCCUAGGGUUGUAAACCGCUUUCAGUAGGAACGAAAAUGACGGUACCUGCAGAAGAAGGUGCGGCCAACUACGUGCCAGCAGCCGCGGUGACACGUAGGCACCAAGCGUUGUCCGGAUUUAUUGGGCGUAAAGAGCUCGUAGGCGGUUGAGUAAGUCGGGUGUGAAAACUCUGGGCUUAACCCAGAGCCGCCACUCGAUACUGCUGUGACUUGAGUUCGGUAGGGGAGCAGGGAAUUCCUAGUGUAGCGGUGAAAUGCGCAGAUAUUAGGAGGAACACCGGUGGCGAAGGCGCUGCUCUGGGCCGAUACUGACGCUGAGGAGCGAAAGCGUGGGUAGCAAACAGGAUUAGAUACCCUGGUAGUCCACGCCGUAAACGUUGGGCACUAGGUGUGGGUUCCAACCAACGGAAUCCGCGCCGUCGCUAACGCAUUAAGUGCCCCGCCUGGGGAGUACGGCGGCAACGCUAAAACUCAAAGGAAUUGACGG